AUUAAUCGGGGUGGGAUGGGGGGGAGGGGUUGGGAAUAAGAGCAGGACAUGAUUACUGUAAAGUUUUGGACAUUGAUCAUCUAGGGUAAUUAAUGCUUUGAUAUCAAUGUUAUAUUAAUGUUGUUGGCAUUAAAUCCACAUUUAUCUUUGCUGUUGAAUUAUUGUUAGUAACACAAAUGUCUUGUAUAAGUUGAUGACACUUUAUGUUGCCACUCCAAGUGCCCUGGGUUUGCUCUCUCUCUCUCUCUCUCUCUCUCUCUCUCUCUCUCUCUCUCUCUCUCUCUCUCUCUUUACACAAAACAGGCUAAUGGCUGCAGUCUGGUGCAUAAUGACAUUCUAAUCACAGCACUUUUGGGGAACACAAUAUGUCUGCUAUUCAAGUGAUUAAAGUUGUGAGAACCCUGUUGUUAGGCAGCUGAUGAAAAUGGCUAACUAAUGACAAUUUACCUAGUUAGCACAUAGUCUUUACCAUAGGCUUGUUUGUAAUUUUUAAAAACAGACUACAUAUGACUAAGAUUAGACUGUAUCAAACAUUAGAUGUAGACAUACAGAAGUAGAAUACCACAAGUGCACUGUGUGUGUGUGUGUGUGUGUGUGUGUGUGUGUGUGUGUGUGUAUGCGCGUGCGUGUGUGUAUAAUCUUCUCAUAAUAGUGAAAAUGGUGUAGGGAACAUAGGAGUUGCAGCAUAGUGUUACAUCAUUUUAUCCGUAUUAGAAUUAUAAGUAGGUUAUAUUAAUAAAUAAUUGAUCAACGCUUGGUGAUAUUACAGAGAAUGAGAGGCCAUGUUGUUUUUGAGGCUUUUGUUUCUUUCCAGUCCUACAACACAGAAAAUCAUUUAGUGUUAGCAUGCAAAUUUUUCCUUCUCCUUGUUUUGGGAUUUUUGCUCCAUUUCCCCAAACUAUUUACUCUCAGUUCAAGAUUUAAGAUUCAAUUCCUAGCCACUAACAAGUUCUCCCAUAUAAAAUGACAGCUACCAGCCUGGGAGGGCAAAGGUUAACACAUGCUUCCUCUGCGACAUACUAUGUUAUCUACACAUAGGCUAAUAAUGGCUUGUAAAACUGUAAAGUUACUGUGUUAACUGUGUAAUGUCUGUCUGACUGAUAGGGGUUUUGAUAGUAAUGCAAAACAGUGUAUAUAAAUAACUUAAUCUGCUUAUUCAUAGACCCUGACUUAUUUGUACUAGCAUAAGGCUAAGUUUUGAUGAUGGCUGCAAAGCACUUCUAGAAGUCCCUCUAGAUAAGAGUCUCUGCUAAUGCCAUAAAUGUAAAUAUAUCCUAUUUAUGUCCUUUUGGACUCAAUUCAAAAUCAAAAUUCCAUGAUGGCUGAUAAACACUUAUAACCAUUGCACCACUUGCGAGUGCUAUUCAAUCCAAAUGUUAACACAGCAACCACAUGCAUUUUCCACAAAACAGUGAUGUAGCUGUUGUACUUACGAGUAUUGUCCCAUCCUCCUGACCACCACGACUAUCACUGCAAUGAUGAUGACCACAGCGACCAGUGCACCAAACACAAUGCCCACCACUUGACCCGUGCUCAUACCUACAGAGAGAAAGAAAGAGAGAGAGAGAUGUACACUUAAUAACUAAUGUUUACAUGUGUAUAUGAGAUUACAAAACACAUUUGUAACUUCGCUCAGGAUACUAGUAUCUGCCAAAUGUUGUAAAUGUAAGUCUGUGUGAGUAUCUCACCCUCUGAGUCCUCCACUUCCACCUCAUCCCCCUCUGUUUCGAUCACUUGGUCUGCCUCUGCGUUUAAUACUGUCUCUGUGAUUGACAGCCCUGUUUUUGGAGCUUCAGUUUCAUCUGCUACCUCAAUAACUUCAGGUGUAGCUUCUGUAGCUGCAGCAUCCUCUGCCUCCACAGUUGUUUCGGUGUUUUUGGCAGGAGCUUCCGUAACUCCUUCUGUUGUUUCUGCUUGCGCCGUCUGAGCUGUAGUAUGAACUGAUGGUGCCUCUGUUUCCUUCACAGGAACUUCAGUAUGAACUGAUGGUGUCUCUGCUUCCACCACAGGAACUUUAGUAUGAGCUGAUGGUGUCUCUGCUUCCACUACAGGAACUUUAGUAUGAGCAGAUGGUGUCUCUGCUUCCACCACAGCAGCUUCAGUAGCAGCUGGUGCUGGUGCUUCAGUGACAGGUUCCUCCACCUCCUUUAAUGUCUCUGCAGCCUCAGUGGGCCCAAAGGCCCCUGUCACUUGUGCCAGCACCACGUCUGUGGGUACCACAAUAGUACCUGUGUGAAAGCCAACCAAUGUAGAAAUGUUAUGGCUUAAACAGCGUUAUAACAAAUUUGGUAUGAGGUUUACUUAAUGCCAUUCAAAUGUUUUUAUGAUUAGAUCUUCUAGGGGAAAUUAAUUAAGAGUAUGCAUAGUGGUUAAAGUGUGAAAAUGGUUCUUUUUUCUUUUUUCUUUCUUUCACUGUUUUAAAUGUGAGGCUUAGAAUUGACACUUGACUGGCAAGUGUUACUGCAUCAUUAUAUAUAAUAACCUAUCAUGUUUCAGUACGCAAACAAAGGCCAAGAAACUCUACAUUACCAUAAAAAGGGGUGAAUACAUAUUAUCGGUGUUUUCAAUUUGCAUAUUAGUCUAGAUUUUCAGUACUUAGUACUUUUAUAAUCAACUAUAGAUCUUGUUUCUGUCUGCUUCUCAAACGCUCUUGCUUUGGUAGUUGGAGUGGUAGACUGAGGAGUCAAAAUUUUCUGAAACAAACUGUCUCUGUUAAAAUGACACAAAAUACAGACACACACACAAAAUAUCCUAUCCACACCUCCAAGGCAAGGCCCCUCCUAAACCCCACCCUGAAGAGCUCAUAUCCCGCCUGCGUCAUCACUCAUUCCAAACACGUCGGCUCACUUCCUUUAGAUGCAGCUGGAAAGAAGCACAAGAUCCUUGGGAGGAAAUAAGUUCAGUUUUAUCAUUAAAACUUCGUACUCUUUAAAACUGAACUGGACUGCAAUUGUCUUUUCAGUAUCUUUUACUAGCGCAGAUGUUCUUAGCGUUAAAAAAAAAAAAAGCCAGCUGGAGCCCAUAUGGGUGAGGGAACCACCCUUUACAAUAACAUCCCUGAUCACCAGAGAACAAUGCUAUAACCUACAAGCAGAGAAUUUUUACCACAAAGUUUCAGAGCAGUACGAGCUACACUUUGUGAAAGUAAUCAAUGUGUAAAUAAUAGCAUAAUGAUUGUACAUCUCAAAUUGUGUGUGUUACUGCUUUGGGCUGACGGACACUUUUGUGUCUACAAAUCUGUGAACAUGUAUUAUGCGCAUAAGUUUACCAGCAUACUUGCAUUGACACUUGAAUAAGUGCACUGGGGUUAGUUUCAUGUGAACUUAGUCAGAACUUACAGAAAACAAAAAAACAAAGAAGGUUAUUUGUGAUAACAUUACACUGAAUGUUGUCACACAUUGACUUUUUCAUGUUAUUUAACUAAGAAAAAAACAUAUAAUCAUAACUGAUUCAACUUUUUUGACAUACGUUCAACAAACUAAUAGGUUAUAAACAGUUUUUCAAAAUUAAUGAUGUGUUGUCCUUAAAUAAAAAACAAAUGCUUAUCACAUUGCCACACAUACCACUUAUGGGUGAUAACAGUAACUCCCCUUCACUUCACAUUGGGUCGCACUGCACCAGCCCAAUUCUGAAUAUUUUCCAAUAACACCACACCUCGUCAUGCUUUAUAGCUCAUAAUACAUUUCAUCUCUUCUGACAACUAAUCCUCAAGCUGCUGUAUAUUCAGUCCCUCAAGGAUUUCAUGAUUUUGCAAAAUAUUAAAUAAACGCCGCAAUAUUCUGAGGAAAUUUCUUUAAUUGUUUAAUUUAGAUUUUCUGCAGAUUUGGUUGCAUCAUGUGACGCCAUCACAACACGCAUUCAGCCAAAGCCCUCUUCAAGUUGUAUGUUGAACAUGAGUUCAGCUAAAAGGUCUAAUUUACCAACAAACAUCACUGCGAAAGACGUAAAUUCAAGUAGUUUUCCGCAAAAAAAAUCCCCGCACACAAAAAACUGCACAAGUUGCAUGCAAAUUUUGAAGGAGAAAAUAAAGCCUAGCAAAAUCAAUCCCAAAAAUCCUGAACGGACUGACUUUUGCUUUAGUACAAGUUCCAGUUCUGGUCUGUUAAGUAUACCAUUUAAGAAGUUCCCACUCAACCAAUCAGAAUUUGCUAGACACACAACAUAACAGAUGUGCACACAUUGCAUAUUGAUGAUGUGUGAUGCCUACUCAUGCCCCUACAGUCUUUGUAAUAACUCAAACUAACAUAUAACCAGCCCAUAUGCUUUCACUGAUGUUUACAACACAUACAGUAUUUCUAGUCCUGCCAUGCCAAGAUGGUACAAAGAUGCUCCAAUGAGUAUGAUUAAUAAAUCCUCAUCCAAAGCAAUACUUCUCUUUGUAGAUAGUAAGUUUAAUUGUGUUGCCCUGUCACUGGGGAAACCCAGAACUGCAGAAAGAUGUUUUUACACUGGCCUUUCCCCUUUUAUUACUUUCACAUGACAAACGAACAAGAGAUGUCGUGCUGUUCUGAUGACAUUACAGAUAACUCAUUCAUUUGGCACAGGAUUGUCAUACAUUGCAAUCGGUCGGCAUAUAUUCGAUUUGAUUUAAGAUCAAAAACUUCAAUGGGCACGUUUUUAGCUUUGGAUGAAGUAAUAAAUAGACAAAAUUAAAAGUAAGUCGAGAUAGAAUUUUGAGAUUUUUCUGUGGCCUCCUUGGAGGCAAUCUAAAGUCUUUCCCAAUGGUUCCCUGAUGUGCCGAGCUAACACCUGGAAUCGUCUCUAGUACAUAAACUGCAUCUGAAUCAGUCCUAAUCAAUCAAUCUAACAACGGGUAACAUUCCAAUAACCAAAUGUAUCACUACAGAAUGACGCUUCGAAUACACCAAACUAUUUUUAUGCAAUAUUGCAAUGCUCCUCCGAUGAAUACUGUAGUUGGUUAGAAUAGUAGGUUGUAAUUUUAGAUUUUUAUAGCCUUUUACAGUAAACGUGGGUCUUUUUUUAGUCUCAGAUAAUAGAGCAUAGUAAACUGAACGCACGAAACCGACUUCAACGUCAGACUGCUCUAGGACAUGAUGUCAUUUUGUUCUUUCUCCCUUCCCUUUUUUUUAACGGUCUUCCAUUGUGUUGCCAUGGCUUUUGGCCCGGAGAGGGCAUUUGUGCUAUCUUUAUCACUGCAGGCCACGCAUGCUAUAAGGCAUUUAGUCAAAAUCACCAUUAGCAGCAGACUGGUACAAAAACACACACAGACAUGGCUAGGAGGGGGUGGUCCCUGAGAAGAGAACUUUGUGUCCUGUUUGUUCACAGAGAGAGAGAGAGAGAGAGAGAGAGAGAGGGGAUGAUGGAAGAGUUGUGUGUGUGUGUGUGUGUGUGUGUGUGUGUGUGUGUGUGUGUGUGUGUGUGCUUUAUGCCUUACAGACAUUGUUAACAAUUGCCUCAUUAUGUUGUGGACUCCAACAAUUAGCCUUAAGUAUGGUCUCCUUCCCCUGCAACAACUUCUACACACACAGGAGUGUUCUCUUGCUCUCGUCCAUGCUUUUGCAGUUGAGUCUAGCUGAGGAUACUUGUGCCUCAUCUUUUUGUGUUUUUUUUCUAUCAAGACUUUAAAAAAAAAAAAAAAAAAAAAAAAAAAACACCCAUCAGCUUUGGGCAAAUUUCAACAAAUUGUCAAUGUGUGUUUUCUGUGUGUGUGUUAAUUGAUUGAAAAACCAAAACAAUUUCUGCACUUUGGUCAAUGAGCAUUGAAUCUAAAUGUGCUGUAUAAUUAAAAUGUACUGUACUACUCCCCCUACUCCCCCUACUCCCCUACACACACACACACACACACACACACACACAGCACAUGAGCUCUUACACGCAGAUUUGGUGAGUUGGGUUCUAGGCGUGGCAGCACAGCUGCAGGACAUGGAUAGCAGAAGCAGCUUUAGGAGUAUGAGUGGUUAGAAGCAGAGACACAGAGGAGACAGAGUAGCACUGGUGCACGAGGCAGGCAGGGUGUAGAAAUAGCAGGGCUGUGUAACAGAGUUAACAGGGUAUAGGGUUCCUUUAUGGCCUCAAGCCACAGGAUAUUAUCUGCCAUCGGGUGUACGGGAUAAUGGAGAGUGUGUGGGUGUGUGUGGGUGUGUGUGAUUGAAAAUCAUCAUGCCCAACCUACAAAAUGAGUAACUAUGACCAAGACUGAAAAUUUCUCUAAAGCUAAAAGAAAAAGUACCAUAAAAGGGAAAAGAAAGACUGCGCAGAGGGGUGGGAUGGAGCGGGAUCAAGCAGGAGAGAGAGAGAGAGAGAGAGAGAGACUGACCUAGAGACAGAGAAAGAGAGAGCGAGAGACAGAGACACCAUCACAUCCAUCACCAUAUCACAAUCAGCUUCCACUGCACAUUAUGAUGAUUGGGGAGCAUGGGGGGUGUUAGGUGAGGGGGAUGAAGAUGUUGUCGUUUCAAUCAGAGCUGUGUGCACGAGGGGAGUGUGAAACUGGAAUGUUCUUGGUGCUGAGGAGGCACAGAAACUCUCAUAACAUUGUACAUACUCCUACACACACAUUAGAGUAUUAGAGUAGAGCCAGCCAAAAGAUGAUACAGUGGUGUGAAUGUUGUUCUUAUCACACAAGUCUUCCUUCAUUCCUACAUGUCCAGAGAGAGACUGGUGCAAUGACGAGUCAUCUAAAUGUUAUUACAUAUGCAGAUCUAUGGAUGUGUUAAUAGGUUCAGCCACUUUCUGCUCUAUAUACACGGCCCCAAAGAGUUUAGACUAUAGUAGGAGAGAGAGAGAGAGAGAGAGAGAGAGAGAGAGAGAGAGAGAGAGAGAGAGAGAGAGAGAGAGAGAGAUCUGCCACUGUCACUGGCAUUUUCCUGAAAAAUGUACAACUCAACUCCAGUUAUAAAAGUAUUUGAAUGACAGGCAUCCUCCAAAAUAUACCACAUGUAUGCUAUCAUUCAAGUCUCUCGUCUAGCAUCCUGGUUGCCACUUUGACAGCUACAAACAUAGACUCAGGCUUGAAAAUAUGUCUCAGGAUAAGGUUAGGAAUAGGGAUUGACUUAGUGUUUCUAUCUUUUCUUACAACUUGUCUUGAAAUCCAACCACAUUGCUUUCAUCUGUUCAAAUUUGUCUGAAUUUCUCAUGAGAUCAGGAAACAAGUUCAUGGCUACAUAUAUUUGUUAUAUACAACACUAGACAGUUUUUUUGAUCACGUACUCAUCUGAAUGUACAGUACUGUGCAAAAGUUUUAGGCAGCCAAUUUUUUUAGUACAAACUUUGUUAUAGAUUUUUUUACAUGCUCAACAAAACUUACCAGCUUAUUUCCUUAUAAAACUGCACAAAUUGUACCAGAGACUACUAUUUUUAUUUAAAAGAUUUUGUCACACCAAAGAUUGAUUUUGUUUCAUUUACUACGGCUUACUGCUCUUUACGGUAUUUUUUUAAAUGUAGAAAUAUUUAAUUUCAUUAUUUUGAAGCCCUCUUUGCUCUGCAGCAUUUCUUUGCAUGUUCCUAAAACUUUUGCACAGUACUGUACUUUUUUUUUUAACCAAACACAUGUCCAAACACACGUCACUGGGGUGGAACCCUCAGAGGUAUGCUUCGUAGUUUUAGUUGUGGGACAACACUGAGGUGCAUAAUUGUUUCCGAGAACAUUUACACUGUAUGUUAGAGAAUAUUUAAAUGUACCUGUACAGCAUAUUGUUUUUCUGACAGUGAAAAAACAUGAUCAUUCGUGAAAGUAGACAUAGUGCCUCAUGGUUGGAACAAAUAUCAGUGCACACGCCUGUGCUAAAUAUUCAUUGCUAAAGGCUUAAUAUUAAUGAUCAGUAACCACAGUUAUUAUACGUAUACACGUUAACAGUCUAGAACACGUUUUUACUUAUUUAAUGACGUUUUAUUUACUAAAUUAAAAAGCUAUGCCUUUUUUUGUCUAACACAGCUUUCAAAAAUCUCGAAUUAUCUGUAAAAUAUCUAUUACAUAUCCACUAAAGAUAAUAUUAUUAGCAUUAAUCACAGAUCAUUGUUUCUUCUCACAUUAUAAAACUUUAAUAAAUAUAAAUGGAAUCGUCAUAAUGUUACGGUUGAUCACCGUUAAUGGAUUUAUUACCACUUUUAUGGGGGUUAGUUACAGAUAAGUACAAGUGACUCAUUGCCAGGUCUGACAGCUUUGUUUAACACACCUCCUUAAGUGUCAUGCAGUUGAAAUGAGGGGAGAAGCGGAGUGUGUUGCAAGACAGCUUUUUAGCUAGAGUUUGUUUAUCAUGCCGGGUUCGUAGGAUUGUAACAGGCACUUGACGUGUCACUAAAGGUUGCAUUUUAAAAAUAACACGUACACACAAGACCCUGCGGGGGUGAAAGCUUGAUACCCCGCCAAAGAUGGUGACAUGUAGGAGUGGAGUGUGCAAGAGACGUAAGGCGGGGGUACCCGCCCUGAAUGGGCAUAAUUUGAGUCUCUCUCUCUCUCUCGCUCUCUCUCACUCUCACUCUCACGCUUCAUAGCUUGAGACGAAAAGUCUAACCAGCCUGUUGACUGAACACCAAAUGCUAUUCUUAAAUAUAGGGCCAGAUCUAUUUAUAUGCUCACAUGACCCUGCCCAGGCUGAGAGAAAAGAAAGAGAGAUCUCCCUGUAAAAACUGAGCCAAGACACAUGGCACCAUUACAUCAUAUUCUUAAAAGUGCCUCAAAUGAGAGAGAGAGAGAGAGAGAGAGAGAGAGAGAGAGAGAGAGAGAGAGAGAGAGUGUGUGUGUGUGUGUGUGUGUGUGUGUGUGUGAGUGAGAGAGAGAGAGAGAGAUUGAGAGAGAGAGAGUUUAACAGUACAUGACAUAAUCUGUGGCUGUACCACAUCUACCAAGUU
ensembl:lncRNA